rnacentral:lncRNA from 1 species
AGUUGCACACGUGGAGUCUAUUUGGUUAGAUUACGAAGGAUUUCCAUUUCAAGACCUUUACCUCAUUCCACCUAUCAAGACCCUUUUCCCAAAUAAAGUCAUUGUCUCACAUUCUGGGGGUUUGGGCUUACACAACCCAGAGUAGGGACAUCAUUAGAACCUGAGUAAAUGCAGCUCCAAAGCAGGUGCCUUUUUAAGCCUUCUAAUUCUGCUAGAGAGACCCGGUCUCUAGGGUGAUGACCAGUAGGCUUCAGAGUUUGGAGGCUGUCAAACCCUUGUCAGUGCUCCAAGCUGUUAGCAGGGUCAGUGGGAAUGACUGGGAAAGGCAGGUUGGCUAUAGUAGGAGAGAGCUGUUGUGAUGCCUGCAGUGGCUGCAAGAGCUUCAUGCUUCUUGGAUAAACAGAUGCAUAGGUACAUUUCUGACUAGUACUUUCUCUUGAAAGGGGCUCAGAAAGCAGGUGUGACUCAGGUUCCAGGUUACAUACGAUCAUCUGGAAGCUUGAAAACAUUAUGUCUUGGGCUUCAUGGACUGGUCAAGACAAAUCUGAGAGUGGCUCCAGGCAACGGUUGGGACCUAGUACCCUUCUAGAAGGUGGGAACCCUUGCCACCUACUUACCCUGCAGUAUGGUGUAUGAUUAACCAUACAUCAAAGAUUUGAGAAUCUACCAUCUUCCUGAUAUGGGACAUGUUGUUUUCUUUUCCAGGAUUAUUGAAGCUAUAACUGGAAAAAGUAGUUGUCCCAUCUCCCUCAGGAAUUAGCCUAAUUGUUUUUACACAAAUUUUAUGUGGUCUCUGGCAGAUAACUUCUAGAUCCAUAUAACUAGAAGCAUGUCCUUUCCAGACGACCUCUUACUGUUACUUAUGUAUGCUUUCUUCUUGUUGGCCCAUGCCCAAGAGAAAACCAGAAAGCCAGUAAGACAGUACAGAGUACUUCACCUACUGUAGUAGUAAACCAUAAGGCAGACUGUAAGUAGGGAUGAUGUCAAAAUAGGAAUAAUUGCAGCCCUGUAUGUGACACCCUCAGGCAAGGUGAGGCCUACCUUUCAGUGUUUUCCCUUUCAAGGUGGGAGUUUGGUGAGAUGGAACAAGCACUUUGGAAGCAUUCUCAGCCCUCUUUACCUGACAGCAGCUUGGUCCUCACAGUGAUUGCCUCAUUGGAGUGGCUGUCAUGGCACUGUCACCACCAAAGUCUGUGAUGCAACAUAUCUGCAUGGCCUGCAUAUCAGCAGGCCUGAGUGGCUAGCAUCUUGAACCUUUUAUCACAUGAACAUUCUCUGUAGGCUGGUAUAAAAAGGCCAGAGGAUUAAAUUAUGUAUAAAAUAUGAAAUAAAGAAGUAAGACCUGCAA